UACGGGGGGGGCAAGCGUUGUUCGGAAUUACUGGGCGUAAAGGGCUUGUAGGUGGCCAACUAAGUCAGACGUGAAAUCCCUCGGCUUAACCGGGGAACUGCGUCUGAUACUGGAUGGCUUGAGUUUGGGAGAGGGACGCGGAAUUCCAGGUGUAGCGGUGAAAUGCGUAGAUAUCGUAAGGAAGACCAGUGGCGAAGGCGGGUCUCUGGACAGUUCCUGACGCUGAGGCGCGAAGGCCAGGGGAGCAAACGGG
rnacentral:rRNA from 1 species